GAGUAACACGUGGGUAACCUGCCUGUAAGACUGGGAUAACUCCGGGAAACCGGGGCUAAUACCGGAUGCUUGUUUGAACCGCAUGGUUCAAACAUAAAAGGUGGCUUCGGCUACCACUUACAGAUGGACCCGCGGCGCAUUAGCUAGUUGGUGAGGUAAUGGCUCACCAAGGCAACGAUGCGUAGCCGACCUGAGAGGGUGAUCGGCCACACUGGGACUGAGACACGGCCCAGACUCCUACGGGAGGCAGCAGUAGGGAAUCUUCCGCAAUGGACGAAAGUCUGACGGAGCAACGCCGCGUGAGUGAUGAAGGUUUUCGGAUCGUAAAGCUCUGUUGUUAGGGAAGAACAAGUACCGUUCGAAUAGGGCGGUACCUUGACGGUACCUAACCAGAAAGCCACGGCUAACUACGUGCCAGCAGCCGCGGUAAUACGUAGGUGGCAAGCGUUGUCCGGAAUUAUUGGGCGUAAAGGGCUCGCAGGCGGUUCCUUAAGUCUGAUGUGAAAGCCCCCGGCUCAACCGGGGAGGGUCAUUGGAAACUGGGGAACUUGAGUGCAGAAGAGGAGAGUGGAAUUCCACGUGUAGCGGUGAAAUGCGUAGAGAUGUGGAGGAACACCAGUGGCGAAGGCGACUCUCUGGUCUGUAACUGACGCUGAGGAGCGAAAGCGUGGGGAGCGAACAGGAUUAGAUACCCUGGUAGUCCACGCCGUAAACGAUGAGUGCUAAGUGUUAGGGGGUUUCCGCCCCUUAGUGCUGCAGCUAACGCAUUAAGCACUCCGCCUGGGGAGUACGGUCGCAAGACUGAAACUCAAGGAAUUGACGGGGGCCCGCACAAGCGG
rnacentral:rRNA from 1 species